CGGUCACGUGGGCGCCGCGCGCUCGGCCAGGCCCCGUUUCGUCCCGCCGGUGGAAGAGAGGGUGGGACCCUGGUUCAGCACUUUGGGCUCAGAAGGCUUCUAGAAGAGGACAUCUACUCAAAAACUCAUUCUCACCUAGAAGACAACCUGGGAAAUAUUUGAUUAUGAAAGAGAGGCAUCAAACCACCACCAGAGAGCAAGAGAAGAAAGGAAUGGAGAAGAACUGCAAAACAACCAUAAAACAAAUAACAAAACGGCAAUGAGUACGUACCUAUCAGUGAUUACUUUGAUUGCAAACGGAUUAAUUACUCCAAUCAAAAGACAUAGGGUGACUGAAUGGAUAACAAAAGCCCAUCUAUAUGAUAUCUAUCAGACUCCUUUCUAAUCUAAAAGCACAGAUUGAAAGAGAUGGAAAAGAAUGUAUGAUGCAGAUGGAAGUGAAAAGAACACUAGGGUAGCAAUACUUAGACAAAAUAGACUUUAAAACAAAGACUGUAACAGGAGACAAAGGAGGACAUGAUAUAAUAAGAGGGACAAUCCAACAAGAAGAUAUAACAAUUGUAAAUAUUUAUGCGCCCAACAUGGAAGUACCUGCUGGAAGCCACUUCUGAACUGUACCUUAUGAAGGACAUUAUAGCAAUUUCUUCUUUUGUGUUUAUGGGAGCAAAUAUUACAUUUCCUGAGAAAGCUGUUCUUCCCCUCAAGAAAACAGG